rnacentral:pre_miRNA from 1 species
UGUUACAUUUUCCUCGGUAGUUAAUUGCUGCCGAUUUCUUCAUAAUUCGGCAGUUAACUGCCGAGGGGGCU